UGGGGCAUAUUGCACAAUGGGCGCAAGCCUGAUGCAGCCAUGCCGCGUGUGUGAAGAAGGCCCUCGGGUUGUAAAGCACUUUCAGCGGGGAGGAAGGCGGUGAGGUUAAUAACCUCACCGAUUGACGUUACCCGCAGAAGAAGCACCGGCUAACUCCGUGCCAGCAGCCGCGGUAAUACGGAGGGUGCAAGCGUUAAUCGGAAUUACUGGGCGAAAAGCGCACGCAGGCGGGCUGUCAAGUCGGAUGUGAAAUCCCCGGGCUCAACCUGGGGAAUGCAUUCGAAACUGGCGGGGUAGAGUCGUGUAGAGGAGGGUAGAAUUCCAGGUGUGGCGGUGAAAUGCGUGAGGAUCAGGAGGAAUAGCGGUGGCGGAGGCGGCCCCCUGGACAAAGAAAGACGCUCAGGUGCGAAAGAGUGGGGAGCAAACAGG
rnacentral:rRNA from 1 species